GAUGAACGCUGGCGGCGUGCUUAACACAUGCAAGUCGAACGGAGAAACGGUAGCUUGCUAUCUUUUUAGUGGUCGGACGGGUGAGUAACGCGUGGGUAACCUGCCCUUUGCAGGGGGAGUAACAGUGAGAAAUCGCUGCUAAUACCGCAUACCAACUUCUUUCGCAUGAAGGAAGUUUGAAAGAUUUAUCGGCAAAGGAUGGACCCGCGUUGGAUUAGCUAGUUGGUGAGAUAACAGCCCACCAAGGCAACGAUCCAUAGCCGGCCUGAGAGGGUGAACGGCCACACUGGGACUGAGACACGGCCCAGACUCCUACGGGAGGCAGCAGUGGGGAAUAUUGCACAAUGGGCGAAAGCCUGAUGCAGCGACGCCGCGUGAAGGAUGAAGGUCUUCGGAUUGUAAACUUCUAUCAGCAGGGAAGAAAGGGCUUAUAGCCUAUGACGGUACCUGACUAAGAAGCCCCGGCUAACUACGUG
rnacentral:rRNA from 1 species